rnacentral:rRNA from 1 species
AGCGAACGCUGGCGGCAGGCCUAACACAUGCAAGUCGAGCGCCCAGCAAUGGGAGCGGCAGACGGGAUAGUAACACGUGGGAACGUACCUUUCAGUUCGGAACAACCCAGGGAAACUUGGGCUAAUACCGAAUACGUCCGUAAGGAGAAAGAUUUAUCGCUGAAAGAUCGGCCCGCGUCUGAUUAGCUAGUUGGUGAGGUAAUGGCUCACCAAGGCGACGAUCAGUAGCNGGUCUGAGAGGAUGAUCAGCAUCACUGGGACUGAGACACGGCCCAGACUCCUACGGGAGGCAGCAGUGGGGAAUAUUGGACAAUGGGCGCAAGCCUGAUCCAGCCAUGCCGCGUGGGUGAUGAAGGCCCUAGGGUUGUAAAGCCCUUUCGGCGGGGGAAGAUAAUGACGGUACCCGCAGAAGAAGCCCCGGCUAACUUCGUGCCAGCAGCCGCGGUAAU